UGGGGAAUAUUGCACAAUGGGCGAAAGCCUGAUGCAGCAACGCCGCGUGAGUGAUGAAGGCCUUCGGGUUGUAAAGCUCUGUCUUUUGGGGACGAUAAUGACGGUACCAAAGGAGGAAGCCACGGCUAACUACGUGCCAGCAGCCGCGGUAAUACGUAGGUGGCAAGCGUUGUCCGGAAUUAUUGGGCGUAAAGAGCGCGUAGGCGGGAUAGUCAGUCUGUUGUAAAAAGUGCGGGGGCUCAACCCCGUGAUGGCAAUGGAAACAGCUAUUCUUGAGUGCAGGAGAGGAAAGUGGAAUUCCCAGUGUAGCGGUGAAAUGCAGUAGAUAUUGGGGAGGAACACCAGUGGCGAAGGCGACUUUCUGGACUGUGUCUGACGCUGAGGCGCGAAAAGCCAGGGGGAGCGAACGGGAUUAGAUACCCCGGGUAGUCCUGGCCGUAAACGAUGGGUACUAGGUGUGGGAGGUAUCGACCCCUUCCGUGCCGGAGUUAACGCAAUAAGUACCCCGCCCUGGGGAGUACGGUCGCAAGACUGAAACUUAAAGGAAUUGACGGGGU
rnacentral:rRNA from 1 species